AUAGAAUAAAAAUCAAUACAUAGAAUUAUAUCUAAAAUUAUGAAAGAUUAAAAGUCAAGCGAAUCACCUACGAUCUACGAUCUAAUGAUUAAUAAUCGAGGAUUAAUGUCUCUUUUAAUUAGAAAAUAGUAAGUUUCUAAGCUAUUAUUAGCGAAACGUUGAAUUCUUAAAAAUAGAUAUCUU